GUCAAGAUAGUAAGAGCUUACGGUGGAUGCCUUGGCACCAGGAGUCGAUGAAGGACGUGGACGGCUGCGAUAAGCCGCGGUGAGGCGCUGAACAGCCUUUGACCCGCGGAUCUCCGAAUGGGAAAACCCAACACCGGUAAUGCGGUGUUAUCUCGCGGUGAAUACAUAGUCGCGAGAAGGGAACCGGGGGAACUGAAACAUCUAAGUACCCCGAGGAAAAGAAAUCAACCGAGACUCCCUUAGUAGUGGCGAGCGAAAAGGGAUCAGCCCAAACCUGACAGAUGUAAGCGGGCACGCGUUGUCUGUCGGGGGUUGUAGGACGUUAUGCCCAAGCCGUGCCUGGCUUGGCAGCAGUUACAAAAUCAGGUGUUAGCCGAAGCGAGUGGAACCUCGCACCACAGAGGGCAAUCGUCCCGUAGGUGAAAGCACACUGAUCUGCUGAUUAGCGUUCCUGAGUAAGACCACACCCGUGAAACGUGGUCUGAACCUGGGGGGACCACCCUCCAAGGCUAAGUACUACCUGGUGACCGAUAGUGAACUAGUACCGUGAGGGAAAGGUGAAAAGCACCCCUGAAGGGGAGUGAAAUAGUACCUGAAACCGUAAGCUUACAAGUGGUCGGAGCACCUUCGGGUGUGACGGCGUGCUUUUUGCAUCACGAGCCGGCGAGUUACUCGUCUGUGGCAAGGUUAAGCGAUGAGCGGAGCCGUAGCGAAAGCGAGUCUGAAUAGGGCGACACAGUCAUAGGCGGUAGACCCGAAACUGAGCGAGCUAUCCAUGGGCAGGCUGAAGCGGGGGUAAGACCUCGUGGAGGGCCGAACCGACCUAGGUUGAAAACUGGGCGGAUGACCUGUGGAUCGGAGUGAAAGGCUAAUCAAGCUCAGAGAUAUCUGGUUCUCUCCGAAAUAUAUUUAGGUAUAGCGUCGAGUAUUUGCGUUUCGGCCGUAGAGCACUGUUUGGACUAGGGGCCCUACCAGGUUACCGACUUCAGGCAAACUCCGAAGACCGUUACGGUUAACUCGGCAGUCAGUGUGCGGGGGAUAAACUUCGUACGCAAAAGGGAAACAACCCAGACCAUCAGCUAAGGUCCCCAAGUACUAGCUAAGUGGUGAACGAUGUCCGAGUGCAUAGACAACCAAGAGGUUGGCUUAGAAGCAGCCAUCCUUGAAAGAGUGCGUAACAGCUCACUGGUCAAGUGUUCGGGCGCGGAGAAUUCAACGGGGCUCAAGCUAGUCACCGAAGCUAUGGGUGUGCAGGCCUGCGGGCUCUGCACGCGGUAGGAGAGCGUUCCAGUUGCGAGAAGCGGAUGCGUAAGCCUCCGUGGAGCGGCUGGAAGUGAGAAUGCCGGCAUGAGUAACGAAAGAGGGGUGAGACUCCCCUCCACCGUUUGUCCAAGGUUUCCUGAGUAAAGUUCGUCUGCUCAGGGUUAGUCGGGACCUAAGGCGAGGCCGAAAGGCGUAGCCGAUGGCCAACAGGUUGAUAUUCCUGUACCACGUCGAUUCCGUUAUGACCGAUGGGGGGACGGGGAAGGGUAAGGGAACCCAGGC
rnacentral:rRNA from 1 species